UAAGAAAAGACCAGCCUCAUUUCCGCCCCAGCUUGAGGGGAAAUGAGGGCUCUGUUCUGUGGCAACAGGUCUGCGAGAGGGAGGGGCCCCACAGCCACAGCUCUGGCCCAGAUGAGCCCACCCGUACCAGAUGAGCCGAGGCUGGCUUGAACUAUGUCCUGCUGCCUCCUUGCCCUUCUCCUGGGCACUUUCUUAGGUGUCAGCGCUCAGACCAUCCACCAAUGGCCACCUGUCAGCGUGCGGCUUGUGGGCAGCCCGCUCUCCCUGGAGUGCAUAGUGAAGGGGGAAUCAAACCCUUAUCUGUAUUGGUACCGGCAGGCCGAGGGAGGGCCCCCCCAGCUGCUCUUCUACUCCCUAAAUAUUCACCAGGUAGACCCUGAGGCACCACGGAACUUCACAGCCUCCAGGCCCCAGGACGGCCAGUUCAUCUUGAGUUCUCAGAAGCUCCUCCUCAGUGACUCUGGCUUCUACCUCUGCGCCUGGAGUCUCACACCGAGCCGGGCAAGGUAGACAUCUGUGCAAAUACCCCACCCUCUCCGGGAGCCCUCCCUCUGGGGUUGGGCGGAGGAUAUUUGGGUUUCUGGUUGUCAGCCAAUGUGAGAACAACAGAAUCCAGCCAGAUUCUCCUAAAGAACUUCACUAAGUUCUCAGGGAGAAGAGAAACGUAUUCACGUGCGGGUCCCGCGAAUCGCACACACACGGUCAAGUCCCCAGUGUACGGAUGCCUAA